AACGAACGCUGGCGGCAUGCCUAACACAUGCAAGUCGAACGAGACCUUCGGGUCUAGUGGCGCACGGGUGCGUAACGCGUGGGAACCUGCCCUUAGGUUCGGAAUAACUCCCCGAAAGGGGUGCUAAUACCGGAUAAUGUCUUCGGACCAAAGAUUUAUCGCCUUUGGAUGGGCCCGCGUUGGAUUAGCUAGUUGGUAGGGUAAAAGCCUACCAAGGCGACGAUCCAUAGCUGGUCUGAGAGGAUGAUCAGCCACACUGGGACUGAGACCCGGCCCAGACUCCUACGGGAGGCAGCAGUGGGGAAUAUUGGACAAUGGGCGAAAGCCUGAUCCAGCAAUGCCGCGUGAGUGAUGAAGGCCUUAGGGUUGUAAAGCGCUUUGACCCGGGAUGAUAAUGACAGUACCGGGAGAAUAAGCGCCGGCUAACUCCGUG
rnacentral:rRNA from 1 species